AGAGUCCUAUACUCUCCUAUUGACUCAGACUACCAUAUCUUGAUCAUCCUUUUCCGUAGGAAUCGGAUAUAACAUCAUCCGGGUACCCAUGGCCAGCUGUGACUUCUCCAUCCGCACCUAUACCUAUGCAGAUACCCCUGAUGAUUUCCAGUUGCACAACUUCAGCCUCCCAGAGGAAGAUACCAAGCUCAAGAUACCCCUGAUUCACCGAGCCCUGCAGUUGGCCCGGCGUCCCGUUUCACUCCUUGCCAGCCCCUGGACAUCACCCACUUGGCUCAAGACCAAUGGAGCGGUGAAUGGGAAGGGGUCACUCAAGGGACAGCCCGGAGAUAUCUACCACCAGACCUGGGCCAGAUACUUUGUGAAGUUCCUAGAUGCCUAUGCUGAGCACAAGUUACAGUUCUGGGCAGUGACAGCUGAAAAUGAGCCUUCUGCUGGGCUGUUGAGUGGAUACCCCUUCCAGUGCCUGGGCUUCACCCCCGAACAUCAGCGAGACUUCAUUGCUCGUGACCUAGGUCCUACUCUCGCCAACAGUACUCACCACAAUGUCCGCCUACUCAUGCUGGAUGACCAACGCUUGCUGCUGCCCCACUGGGCAAAAGUGGUACUGACAGACCCAGAAGCAGCUAAGUAUGUUCAUGGCAUUGCUGUACAUUGGUACCUGGACUUCCUGGCUCCAGCCAAAGCCACCCUAGGGGAGACACACCACCUGUUCCCCAACACCAUGCUCUUUGCCUCAGAGGCCUGUGUGGGCUCCAAGUUCUGGGAGCAGAGUGUGCGGCUGGGUUCCUGGGAUCGAGGGAUGCAGUACAGCCACAGCAUCAUCACGGUAAGCCACCCCAGUCUCCCUUCCUGCAAAGCAGACCUCAGACCCCUUACUAGUCUCACCAAA
rnacentral:sRNA from 1 species